rnacentral:rRNA from 1 species
GGGGGGGGCAAGCGUUGUUCGGAAUUACUGGGCGUAAAGGGCUCGUAGGCGGCCAACUAAGUCGGAUGUGAAAUCCCCAGGCUUAACCUGGGAACUGCAUCCGAUACUGGAUGGCUUGAAUUCGGGAGAGGGAUGCAGAAUUCCAGGUGUAGCGGUGAAAUGCGUAGAUAUCUGGAGGAAUACCGGUGGCGAAGGCGGCAUCCUGGACCGAGAUUGACGCUGAUGAGCGAAAGCUAGGGGAGCAAACGGGAUUAGAUACCCCGGUAGUCCUAGCCCUAAACGAUGAAUGCUUGGUGUGGCGGGUAUCGAUCCCUGCCGUGCCGAAGCUAACGCAUUAAGCAUUCCGCCUAGGGAGUACGGUCGCAAGGCUG